UCCGGUUUGUCACCGGCUUCACCCCGCAUGUCAAGCCCUGGUAAGGUUCUUCGCGUUGCGUCGAAUUAAGCCACAUGCUCCGCCGCUUGUGCGGGCCCCCGUCAAUUCCUUUGAGUUUUAGCCUUGCGGCCGUACUCCCCAGGCGGGGCACUUAAUGCGUUAGCUUCGGCACGGAGGGAGUCGACACCCCCCACACCUAGUGCCCAUCGUUUACGGCGUGGACUAC
rnacentral:misc_RNA from 1 species